rnacentral:rRNA from 1 species
CCUACGGGAGGCAGCAGUAGGGAAUCUUCCGCAAUGGAGGAAACUCUGACGCAGUGACGCCGCGUGUGUGAAGAAGGUUUUCGGAAUGUAAACCAUUGUCGUUAGGGAAGAGAAAGGACAGUACCUAAGGAGGGAGCUCCGGCUAACUACGUGCAAGCAGCCGCGGUAAUACGUAGGCAGCGAGCGUUGGCCGUACUUAUUGGGCGUAAAGGGUGCGUAGACGGGGAAACAAGUUCGUUGUGAAAGCCCUCGGCUUAACUGAGGAACUGCAACGAAAACUAUUUUUCUUGAGUGCAGGAGAGGGAAGUGGAAUUCCUAGUGUAGCGGUGAAAUGCGUAGAUAUUAGGAGGAACACCAGUGGCGAAGGCGACUUACUGGACUGUAACUGACGCUGAGGCACGAAAGCGUGGGGAGCAAACAGGAUUAGAUACCCGUGUAGUC